AACAUAUUUGAAAGUCCUUUGACAAAGAUAAAGUCUUUAUGUGCAGAGUACUCGUACAGGGAAAAGGUCUCUGGAGCAACUGCUUUUGUUCUUUUCACAAAUGAAUAGUGAAAUACGAGUUGGAAUAGGAAGAUACUAGUUUCAUUUUCUGACAAGAAAGCAUCUGAAACCGACAGUGGGCCGGUACACUCCAUCUGGUACUUGUCGUUUUUUUCCUAACAAGCACUGAAUUGUGGAAAGGGACAGCAAAAAGCUGAAAAAUGGUUUAGAAAGAAGAGAAAAUAUCAUGCAGUGAAAAAGCUAAACAAUCAAUAUGUUUAGAUUUAUUUUUAUUUUAAGCUUUAAGGAAAUCUAGGAAAGAGUGGAUAAAUGUCUACCUAAAGAGAAAAUAGCAGUUGCCAAAAGGCUCUUUUAUUUAGCAGGGAAAACUUAAGACCAGGUGCAUUCAAUUUGGAAAGAAAACUCAUUACUAAGCUUGAGGGCAGACUAACCAGGUGUGAUAUUCCAUCAAGUCUUCAGAUGAGGACUGGACCCCUUUUGGAGAAGUUCUAGUUUUGUACAAGUAAGUGAGCAAAAAGAGGUACUGGGAGGGGAACUUUGGUGUUUUUUAUAUAGAUGCCUUUACUGUGUUUUUAUAUUUGUACACACGUAUAUGCAUAUAGUAGAAGUGAUGACUUUAUGAGUCUUGCUGGCUUUAGACUGUGAAGUGAUGAAAGUGGUAGGCAGUGGUCUCUGUGGCAGGAUGAAGGCUGUUUAGGAACUUCUUACAUAAGACUUCUUAAAGUAAGAUGGGUUGAAAGCAAUUAUAACUUCUGUUGCUAAUGCUCUGUUAGGUACUGAAAAAUAAUUUGAAUCUUGAACAUAAGGAUAGAGUGGUUUACUUUAGUAGGUGAAGGAAUCUCUUGUAAUAGAGCAAUGAUAGCAAUUAAACCUAGUAUUUCUAUUAUGUGCUCAAGAUGUUUGUAAACUAGAUAAAAGAUUUAUAUUUGUUGCAAGGGUUUUCAUAUGCUAUAAGUGAAAUCUGCUUGGGUUUUGAAAAGUUUGAUGUAACCAUUUUCUCUUGGUGGACAAAACAAUAUAAUUUUAACCAACUGAUUAAAGUAUAUAAAGGAUAUGAAAUAUCAAACCAGUGGAUAUAGUGUACAAAUGGGUAUGUAAAUCGUAUUGUCAGAAAAAUGUGUUUUCUAAAGAAAAGAAAUUUCACAUCUCUUCCUAAUUUGUUGCUCAUAAGUGUUGCUAAUAGCAGUAAUGCAAGGUUUUUAUGGGUGACAAGUUUUAAUUUAUUAGUUUAUUUAUAAGCAACUUUUAAAAAGUUAUAAACUUCAUUUCUGUAGUGUUAUUUCUCUGCUUUGCCCAUGUCCACACUUAUUAGCUGAAAUGAAAUAAAAAUGUUCAAC
rnacentral:lncRNA from 1 species